rnacentral:rRNA from 1 species
UACGAAGGGGGCUAGCGUUGCUCGGAAUCACUGGGCGUAAAGCGCACGUAGGCGGCUUUCUAAGUCAGGGGUGAAAUCCUGGAGCUCAACUCCAGAACUGCCUCUGAUACUGGAGAGCUAGAGUCCGGAAGAGGUGGGUGGAAUUCCUAGUGUAGAGGUGAAAUUCGUAGAUAUUAGGAAGAACACCGGUGGCGAAGGCGGCCCACUGGUCCGGUACUGACGCUGAGGUGCGAAAGCGUGGGGAGCAAACAGG